rnacentral:rRNA from 1 species
AGCAGCCGCGGUAAUUCCAGCUCCAAUAGCGUAUAUUAAAGUUGUUGCAGUUAAAAAGCUCGUAGUUGAAUUUCGGGAUCAGUACGCUGGUCGUGCCUUCGGUAUGUACUGGUGUUACUGGUUCCUACCUUCUGACGAACCGUCAUGUCAUUAAUUUGGUGUGGCGGGGAAUCAGGACUGUUACUUUGAAAAAAUUAGAGUGUUUAAAGCAGGCUCGCGCUUGAAUACAUUAGCAUGGAAUAAUGAAAUAGGACGUUCGAUCCUAUUUUGUUGGUUUCUAGGAUUGACGUAAUGAUUAAUAGGGAUAGUUGGGGGCAUUAGUAUUCAAUUGUCAGAGGUGAAAUUCUUGGAUUUAUUGAAGACUAACUACUGCGAAAGCAUUUGCCAAGGAUGUUUUCAUUAAUCAAAGAACGAAAGUUAGGGGAUCGAAGACGAUCAGAUACCGUCGUA